AGCAGCCGCGGUAAUUCCAGCUCCAAUAGCGUAUAUUAAAGUUGUUGCAGUUAAAAAGCUCGUAGUUGAAUUUCGGGGUCAGUAGGUCGGUCGUGCCACUGGUAUGAACUGGUUUUACUGAUUCCUCCCUCUUGAAGAACUGUAAUGCCAUUAAUUUGGUGUUGCAGGGAAUCGGGACUGUUACUUUGAAAAAUUAGAGUGUUUAAAGCAGGCUUUAGCUUGAAUACAUCAGCAUGGAAUAAUGAAAUAGGACGUUUGAUCCUAUUUUGUUGGUUUCUAGGAUUGACGUAAUGAUUAAUAGGGAUAGUUGGGGGCAUUAGUAUUCAAUUGUCAGAGGUGAAAUUCUUGGAUUUAUUGAAGACUAACUACUGCGAAAGCAUUUGCCAAGGAUGUUUUCAUUAAUCAAGAACGAAAGUUAGGGGAUCGAAGACGAUCAGAUACCGUCGUAGU
rnacentral:rRNA from 1 species